CACACACACACACGGUCGUUUUGUUCACACACACACACACGGUCGUUUUGUUCACACACACACACGGUCGUUUUGUUCACACACACACACACGGUCGUUUUGUUCACACACACACACACGGUCGUUUUGUUCACACACACACACACACGGUCGUUUUGUUCACACACACACACACGGUCGUUUUGUUCUCACACACACACACACGGUCGUUUUGUUCACACACACACACACACACAGUCGUUUUGUUCACACACACACACACACGGUCGUUUUGUUCACACACACACACACGGUCGUUUUGUUCACACACACACACACGGUCGUUUUGUUCACACACACACACGGUCGUUUUGUUCACACACACACACGGUCGUUUUGUUCACACACACACACACACACACACGGUCGUUUUGUUCACACACACACACACGGUCGUUUUGUUCACACACACACACACACACGGUCGUUUUGUUCACACACACACACACGGUCGUUUUGUUCACACACACACACACACGGUCGUUUUGUUCACACACACACACGGUCGUUUUGUUCACACACACACACACACGGUCGUUUUGUUCACACACACACACGGUCGUUUUGUUCACACACACACACACACACACACACACACACGGUCGUUUUGUUCACACACACACACACACACACGGUCGUUUUGUUCACACACACACACACACACGGUCGUUUUGUUCACACACACACACACACGGUCGUUUUGUUCACACACACACACACACACGGUCGUUUUGUUCACACACACACACACACACACACGGUCGUUUUGUUCACACACACACACACACACGGUCGUUUUGUUCACACACACACACACACACGGUCGUUUUGUUCACACACACACACACACACGGUCGUUUUGUUCACACACACACACACACACGGUCGUUUUGUUCACACACACACACACACACGGUCGUUUUGUUCACACACACACACACACGGUCGUUUUGUUCACACACACACACACACGGUCGUUUUGUUCACACACACACACACACGGUCGUUUUGUUCACACACACACACACACGGUCGUUUUGUUCACACACACACACACACACGGUCGUUUUGUUCACACACACACACACACACGGUCGUUUUGUUCACACACACACACACACACGGUCGUUUUGUUCACACACACACGGUCGUUUUGUUCACACACACACACACACGGUCGUUUUGUUCACACACACACACACACACACGGUCGUUUUGUUCACACACACACACACACACACGGUCGUUUUGUUCACACACACACACACACACGGUCGUUUUGUUCACACACACACACACACACGGUCGUUUUGUUCACACACACACACACACGGUCGUUUUGUUCACACACACACACACACACACGGUCGUUUUGUUCACACACACACACACGGUCGUUUUGUUCACACACACACACACACGGUCGUUUUGUUCACACACACACACACACACGGUCGUUUUGUUCACACACACACACACACAC
rnacentral:lncRNA from 1 species